rnacentral:rRNA from 1 species
GCCUCCCGCUUUCUUCGUGCUUAACACAUGCAAGUCGAACGGAAAGGCCCUGCUUUUGUGGGGUGCUCGAGUGGCGAACGGGUGAGUAACACGUGAGUAACCUGCCCUUGACUUUGGGAUAACUUCAGGAAACUGGGGCUAAUACCGGAUAGGAGCUCCUGCUGCAUGGUGGGGGUUGGAAAGUUUCGGCGGUUGGGGAUGGACUCGCGGCUUAUCAGCUUGUUGGUGGGGUAGUGGCUUACCAAGGCUUUGACGGGUAGCCGGCCUGAGAGGGUGACCGGCCACAUUGGGACUGAGAUACGGCCCAGACUCCUACGGGAGGCAGCAGUGGGGAAUAUUGCACAAUGGGCGGAAGCCUGAUGCAGCAACGCCGCGUGCGGGAUGACGGCCUUCGGGUUGUAAACCGCUUUCGCCUGUGACGAAGCGUGAGUGACGGUAAUGGGUAAAGAAGCACCGGCUAACUACGUG